AUCAAUCUGCUGUGUUUUUUAAGAAAAAUCAGUUUUGCAGAAAUAUGUGUCAUGAAAAACGAUUUGGAUUUUUUAUUAAAUUAAAAAAAAUUGGAGAUUGUUUCUGCAAUCGCGUUCUUCACAAGAACACGAAGAACAGACGGUAGAUGCCCAGAUUGCCAGAUUACCUAGAACAGUGCCAACGGUAGCAACGUUGAUGGCAAGCCAUGUGAAGGUUUCCGACCGACGGUGGCUCACCUCCGGCAGCGCCUGGUUCGUCAUUGUAGGGUCUAUGUCCUCUGGAAAUCGAACGGUUUUUGGGUGAAGUUGCUUCGCGUGUUUUGCUCAAUGACGAAGCUUGCCAGUGUCGGAAUGGACGGCUAGCGCAAGCGUUGCGCAACCACUGAAGUCUUGGUCUGGCGACGACAAAGCUUGACGUGGGCAAAAAUGGAGGCGGCGCUAAGUUUUCUUAUCUAGAAGAAGAAGACGUUCUGGAAACUUUCAGAACAAUCCUUUAAAUAUUAUAAAAUUUGUAUACUGGCCUUAAACUUUCUAGUUAUGCAAAUAGAUCCUAAAAAUGUUUUAUUUAGACCCAGAAUGUUUCUGAGUUUCACAGACAGAACCUAAGAAAAUUUAUUUGAAUUUUU
rnacentral:lncRNA from 1 species